AUGGUUGUCGUCAGCUCGUGUCGUGAGAUGUUGGGUUAAGUCCCGCAACGAGCGCAACCCUUAAGCUUAGUUGCCAUCAUUAAGUUGGGCACUCUAAGUUGACUGCCGGUGACAAACCGGAGGAAGGUGGGGAUGACGUCAAAUCAUCAUGCCCCUUAUGAUUUGGGCUACACACGUGCUACAAUGGACAAUACAAAGGGUAGCGAAACCGCGAGGUCAAGCAAAUCCCAUAAAGUUGUUCUCAGUUCGGAUUGUAGUCUGCAACUCGACUACAUGAAGCUGGAAUCGCUAGUAAUCGUAGAUCAGCAUGCUACGGUGAAUACGUUCCCGGGUCUUGUACACACCGCCCGUCACACCACGAGAGUUUGUAACACCCGAAGCCGGUGGAGUAACCUUUUGGAGCUAGCCGUCGAAGGUGGGACAAAUGAUUGGGGUGAAGUCGUAACAAGGUAGCCGUAUCGGAAGGUGCGGCUGGAUCACCUCCUUUCUAAGGA
rnacentral:rRNA from 1 species